UUUUUAGUAUAAGUAUGUCCCAUGAACUAUUUGGGUCAUAGUUAUACUAAAA
rfam:Equus caballus chromosome X, whole genome shotgun sequence.